rnacentral:tRNA from 1 species
CGACCUGGUCGCCGAGGCCCGGGCGACGCCGAUCCGGACCGCGCUGGUGAUCGCCCGCGGGCACGGCGGGUUCAACGCCUGCCUGAUCGUC